AUUAAUUUUAAUGCAUAAUUUAAAACAAAAUUAUCAUUUCCAAAACAUUUCUUACGAUUUCUCUUAUUUCCUCAUCUUGAGGAUUCUAGUAUUGCAACCCUUUCACGCACAAAACUAAGGAUGUUGUUUUCUAGGGAAAAGCUCUCUCCACAUAAAUCUUAACUAAUAAAGCAACUUUCCAGAGACAAAUUUAUAAUGAAAACUUAUUCUAGAGAAGUGGCAUCCAGUAGAGAAUACUGUUUCCCAAAGAGUUUAAAAAACAUUCGUUGAUUUUCUCUUAAGAAAAACUUACCCAGCUGAAGCAUAAUCUGUCCAUUCGGUGGCCGCAUUACCAGGAGCCUUAUGAGCAGGCGAUGUACCGGGACUUUGACGUACUGAACCAGCGGCUGAUGGUGGUGGUGCUAUUUUACCCAUGCCUCCGGGUGGUGGUGGUAAUAUGCCAGAGCCUGCUUUAGAUUUUGUACGGCCAGUGCCUUCAGAACCGUCUUUUUUCUAAGUAAAAUUAAAAUUAAUAAAAAAUGAUGAAAAUUUGUAUGGUUAUGAAAAGACU